UGAGUAACCUGCCCUUAACUCUGGGAUAAGCCUGGGAAACUGGGUCUAAUACCGGAUAUGACUCCUCAUCGCAUGGUGGGGGGUGGAAAGCUUUAUUGUGGUUUUGGAUGGACUCGCGGCCUAUCAGCUUGUUGGUGAGGUAAUGGCUCACCAAGGCGACGACGGGUAGCCGGCCUGAGAGGGUGACCGGCCACACUGGAACUGAGACACGGUCCAGACUCCUACGGGAGCAG
rnacentral:rRNA from 1 species